AACGUAGGACACAAACGUUAUCCGGAUUUACUGGGCGUAAAGGGCGUGUAGGCGGAUUGGUAAGUCUCCUCUGAAAGCUCCUGGCUAAACUGGGAGAGGCGAGUGGAGACUGUCAGUCUAGAGUGAGGAAGAGGAAAGUGGAAUUCCGCGUGUAGUGGUGAAAUGCGUAGAUAUUCGCAAGAACACCAGUGGCGAAGGCGGCUCACUGGCCCGAUACUGACGCUGAGGUGCGAAAGCGUGGGGAGCAAACAGG
rnacentral:rRNA from 1 species